UACGUAGGGGGCUAGCGUUGUCCGGAAUCAUUGGGCGUAAAGCGCGUGUAGGCGGUCCGGUAAGUCCGCUGUGAAAGUCGAGGGCUCAACCCUCGAAUGCCGGUGGAUACUGUCGGGCUAGAGUGCGGAAGAGGCGAGUGGAAUUCCUGGUGUAGCGGUGAAAUGCGCAGAUAUCAGGAGGAACACCAAUUGCGAAGGCAGCUCGCUGGGACGUUACUGACGCUGAGACGCGAAAGCGUGGGUCGCGAAUGGG
rnacentral:rRNA from 1 species